rnacentral:rRNA from 1 species
UCAACGGGGCUAAAAUCAUAACCGAAGCUUGGGAUGCAUUAAUGCAUGGUAGGGGAGCGUUGUGUAAGGGGUGAAGUCACAGCGAAAGCGGUGGUGGACAUUACACAAGUGAGAAUGCCGGAAUGAGUAGCGCGAAUUAUGUGAGAAUCAUAAUGGCCGAAAGUCUAAGGUUUCUGGAGGAAGGUUCGUCCGCUCCAGGUUAGCCGGGAGCUAAGGUGAGGCCGAAAGGCGUAGCCGAUGCACAUACGGUAGAAAUUCCGUAACCGUCGAAGUAUUUAAGCAAAGGGACACUUUGGGAAGGUACAAGCCAGGCGUUGGUAGCCCUGGCCGUAAGGGACUGAAAAUUAGUAGGGAAGUGUACUGGAACAGAGGCGAGAAAAGCUUUGUGUAUAUACAAGACGCCCGUACCGCAAACCGACACAGGUAGAUGGGAAGAGAAUUCUAAGGCCAACGGGAGAAGGGUUGUUAAGGAACUCGGCAAGUUGACCCCGUAACUUCGGAAGAAGGGGUGCUCUGGAAACAGAGCCGCAGAGAAUAGGUCCAGGCGACUGUUUAGCAAAAACACAGCUCUAUGCUAAAUCGAAAGAUGAUGUAUAUGGGGUGACACCUGCCCGGUGCUGGAAGGUUAAGAGGAGAUGUCAUCGCAAGAGAAGCAUUGAAUCGAAGCCCCAGUAAACGGCGGCCGUAACUAUAACGGUCCUAAGGUAGCGAAAUUCCUUGUCAGGUAAGUUCUGACCCGCACGAAUGGUGUAACGAUCUGGACACUGUCUCAACAACCCGCCCGGCGAAAUUGUAGUACCGGUGAAGAUGCCGGUUACCCGCGACAAGACGGAAAGACCCCAUGGAGCUUUACUGUAGCUUAAUAUUGGAUUUUGAUAUUUCAUGUACAGAAUAGGUGGGAGACUGAGAAGCAGAGGCGUCAGCUUCUGUGGAGUCGCCUUUGGGAUACCACUCUUGAAGUGUUGAAAUUCUAACCUGCGGCCGUGAAACCGGUCGGGGGACAUUGUUAGGUGGGCAGUUUGACUGGGGCGGUCGCCUCCAAAAAGGUAUCGGAGGCGCUCAAAGGUUCGCUCAGCAUGGACGGAAACCAUGCCCUUGAGUGUAAACGCAUAAGCGAGCCUAACUGCGAGACGGACGGGUCGAGCAGUAACGAAAGUUGGAGUUAGUGAUCCGG